rnacentral:snRNA from 2 species
GGAUGUAAGGGUGAUCUGGUUGUGAAAUCUGUCACUCCAUUGAUCACCAGGGUUGAUUCGGCUGAUCUGGCUGGCUAGGUGAGUGUCUCCUUCCUCCCUCACCCAUUCCAUGUGCAUCCCUCCAGAAGCUGAGGGCUUGGUUGAAGAAGAUGACCAUCACUGAUAGAGGAGGACCGUUCUUCGGUCAAGGGUAUAUGAGUAGCUGCACUCACCUGCUAAAACCUCCAAACAAGCUCUCAAGGUCCAUUUGAACUACACCACUCAGGCGCUAAAUGG